AUGCGGCUGGACAGGCCGGAUCUAGUUGGGCCUUCCACGCGCUGGAGCUGGGCCGGGCCACCUUGGAGCUGGUUGGAUCGAACAAGGGAGGGGGAGUGGUCAACGCGAGCGAUCGUCUCGCUCGACCACCAGCAAAACAGAGGAUGGCAGAGGCGCGAUGCGGGGCAGGGGCAUGAACUCCGGCUCCUCGACGCGAAGACCACCGGCGGCGACGGAGCUUGGAGAGGCGGCGACUCCGGCGGGCGAUGCGGUCAACGGGGACUAGCUUGGGGCGCAGGGAAGGUCCAGGAGCGGGACGAUGGACUCAUGCAGGGCAGCAGCUGGUUCAGUACAGGGGCGCAGCAGCGGCGUGGGACUUGCCACGACGGGUGCUGCGCUGGAGAGGAAGCAGGGUUGGCGCGGCAGGAGGAGGGACCCCGGGCUGACAGGGGGCAAACCAGGCCUAAGCAGGCAGACGAUGACGAAGCAGCGCCGGCGACAGAAAAUUGGCGCGAGGCGAGGGAAUUGGGCGAGGGAAGUGGUCGCGCUGGUCACGCCGGACCAGAGCGACGGUGGCGUCCUUCGACAGGGAAGAGACUGAUGGUGGCCGGGGUCACCGGAGUGGUGGCCGGACAACGCGACGGCUCCCACGGCGGCUACUGUUGCCUGAAGAAAGAGAGGACAGAGAGAAUUGAGAGAAGAACAGGGGAAAGAGAGCUGAGAGAGAGACAACGGGGAAGUAGAAGGGCGCGAGGGGUCCCUGGUGGAGGAGGUCAUGGGGUCGAGGACGACGGAUCCGUCCGUUCCCAAGGUGGAUCCGGCGCGAAACGGCGGCUGCUGAUGCCUGAACCUCCUGGAUGCCAUGGCAGACUCGCUAGGAGGUCUCUGCGAGGAGAGGCUGGGAUGGAUCGGCGCUGCGAGGGAAUUUGGGCAGGUGGAUGCGGGAUGGAUCCCGAGGAAGGAGAGGAGUGGUUGGCCAGCGGCGGCGCGAUGGGACAAGAGGGCUAG
rnacentral:rRNA from 1 species